CUUGUAUGGCUAGGUGUAUCUGAUGGGCUGGGGAUCAGCAGCAGGAGGACUAGGAAAUGGGCCUGCAGUACGAAUCUUCUGAAUCCAGCAAAAAUUUGGACAAAGCCUUUGUUGGUCAUUCCAGAACUGCUCUAAUUUAACAAGUGUGUGCUCCAGAAGAGCUGGAAGCUGUUGGGUGAGUGUUGAUCAUUGUAUCUUCAGCUAAUGAAUGGUCAUCAUUGUUCUUGUCACUCCAAGGGAGGGGGAGUUGCUCUUUUUCCUUAAACACAGGUAAACAGCACUUCAUGGACCCAGAGAAGGGAGAAAAGGUGCUUCCUAUACCACUACAUGCAAGUAAGAUCUUCUCCACAGUCUACAGAAUCUCUGAAUGCUGCCUAUAACUUUGCACUAUCACAUUUAGCUUUCCAGUCUCUAAAUACAUCAUAAGACAACACAGGAAACUUACAGCUGUGGCAGCGACUCUAAAAAAUAAGGGUCAGUUGAACUUCCUGAAUAGUCCUUUCUACACCAAACAUAGAGAAGAUGUGUAGAGUUCUGUUGUCAAUCUAUUUUUGCUCCAUUCCACAAGUUUCUGGUGUCUGUUACUGUAGUGCAGUAGCAAAAUAAUGCAGCAAAUCCCAAUUACCACAAGCGCAGAUUGUUUAGAAUUAUUUCAGAUUUUGAUCCUCGCUGUAACUUAUUUAUACGUUAAUAAUAAACUUGGUUGAGGAUGCCCAAAUGUUACAUCUCCCUACGGACCAGGAGAAAAAGCUUACUUAAGUAGCCUUUCUUUUUUUCGUAUUGAUCCCUUAGAGCAUUGCAAGCAUUUCCAGCUCAAUCUCUGCGUUCUCUGCCAAGUGUGACUAGCACUCAGAGGGACAAAACUGCAAUGCAGGCUUGUUAGGAUCUGUUUGUUGUUGGUUUUGGUCAUAUCUCUGGUGUUUUAUUUGCUAAUGGAAGUGCACAGCAGGCUUCCUGCACAGUGAUGUUAGAAGAGAGCUCUGCAGUGUGGGCCUUGUUUCUAUAGCCCAGAACCUCUUGUUUCGUCAGAGGUACUAUGGAGUAGAUGGGGACAAUACCUAGGCUUGCAGGGUGUAGUGAGGUCUGCACUUAAACUUACUGUGCUGAGUGAGACAGGUUUCUGUAUGACCCAGUUCUAGACAGGAGCACUCGGGCAUUGAGCUCCCAGGCUCCUGCAGGCCUGUUUUUUUGGUUUAUUGUGUCAUUGGGAAGCAGGAAUAGCACUUCUUUCUGCUCCAGAUGUAAGGAUAAAUCUGUGUCUGAGGACAGCUAAUGAGGCAUAUCAGUCUCUUGUAGUAGUUACUUGUUACGUAGUAGUUACUUGUUACACAGCAGCUCUACAUGUUUCUGUUAAGACUUGUCUGCACUGCUUGUACUUUGUCUUGCAGAGCGCAGUUCCUCUGUGUGCUUGCUUCUUCCUCACAGCUGCAAGGAGGCAGCAGUGUGCUCCGGCA